rnacentral:rRNA from 1 species
UACGAAGGGUGCAAGCGUUAAUCGGAAUUACUGGGCGUAAAGGGUGCGUAGGCGGUUAUUUAAGUCUGCCGUGAAAUCCCCGGGCUCAACCUGGGAAUGGCGGUGGAUACUGGAUAGCUAGAGUGUGUCAGAGGAUGGUGGAAUUCCCGGUGUAGCGGUGAAAUGCGUAGAGAUCGGGAGGAACAUCAGUGGCGAAGGCGGCCAUCUGGGACAACACUGACGCUGAGACGCGAAAGCUAGGGGAGCAAACGGG